rnacentral:rRNA from 1 species
UACGUAGGGUGCAAGCGUUAAUCGGAAUUACUGGGCGUAAAGCGUUGCGCAGGCGGUUUUGUAAGUCUGUCGUGAAAGCCCCGGGCUUAACCUGGGAAUUGCGAUGGAGACUGCAAGGCUUGAAUCUGGCAGAGGGGGGUAGAAUUCCACGUGUAGCAGUGAAAUGCGUAGAGAUGUGGAGGAACACCGAUGGCGAAGGCAAUCCCCUGGGCCUGCACUGACGCUCAUGCACGAAAGCGUGGGAGCAAACAGG